rnacentral:rRNA from 1 species
AAGGGCCAUCGCUCAACGGAUAAAAGCUACCCCGGGGAUAACAGGCUUAUCUCCCCCAAGAGUCCACAUCGACGGGGAGGUUUGGCACCUCGAUGUCGGCUCAUCGCAUCCUGGGGCUGUAGUCGGUCCCAAGGGUUGGGCUGUUCGCCCAUUAAAGCGGUACGCGAGCUGGGUUCAGAACGUCGUGAGACAGUUCGGUCCCUAUCCGUCGCGGGCGCAGGAAAUUUGAGAGGAGCUGUCCUUAGUACGAGAGGACCGGGAUGGACGCACCGCUGGUGUACCAGUUGUCUUGCCAAAGGCAUAGCUGGGUAGCUACGUGCGGACGGGAUAAGUGCUGAAAGCAUCUAAGCAUGAAGCCCCCCUCAAGAUGAGAUUUCCCAUGGCGCAAGCUAGUAAGAUCCCUGAAAGAUGAUCAGGUUGAUAGGUCAGAGGUGGAAGCGUGGCGACAUGUGGAGCUGACUGAUACUAAUAGAUCGAGGACUUAACCAAC